rnacentral:lncRNA from 1 species
GGGUGAAAAUCCCUGUCACGUCUCCUUCCAGAAUGUCCAUUCUACUUCAAUGCCAAGUUUAAGUACAUGGUGCCUAACCCACGCCCUCUGUGUGCAACUGGGUGAGGUCAUCUACCCGCUCCUCCAGGUCACAACAAAUCCAUCCCUCCCCAGCCUGUUUCCAACUUGACUGAAACACCCCUAAAUGCUCCACAAAGUUCCUGGGCAGCCCUGGGCUCCAAGAGGCUUGGCCAGGGGUGAGCUUAAAGGAGAGCACACAUGUGCACACACACGGACCCACCCACAGAGACACGUGCAUACGCAUGGAUCCACACACACAAACACAUGUACACACAAACUCGCAUACACAAACACAAGCACUCACAAAAUCACACACAUGCACACAGUAACUCAUACACACGAGUACAUGCCUGCAUUCACCUGACAACACAAACACACAUGCAUACGGCAAACCCACAUGCACACACCUACGCAUGCCCACGUGCACAAAGCAAAUAUCUGCACAUAACCAAAUCCAUAGGCGUGCACAAGAAAACAUAUACACAGAUACACACA